rnacentral:rRNA from 1 species
AUACGUAGGUGACAAGCGUUAUCCGGAUUUACUGGGCGUAAAGGGCGUGUAGGCGGUCUUGCAAGUCAGAAGUGAAAUUCCUGAGCUCAACUCGGGCGCUGCUUCUGAAACUGCAGGACUUGAGUGCUGGAGGGGAUAGCGGAAUUCCUAGUGGAGCGGUAAAAUGCGCAGAUAUUAGGAAGAACACCGGUGGCGAAGGCGGCUAUCUGCACAUUAACUGACGCGGAGGCGCGAAAGCGUGGGGAGAAAAAGGGAUUAGAUAACCUGGUAGUCCACGCCGUAAACGAUGAAUACUAGGUGUAGGGGGUAUCGACGCCAUCUGUGCCGCAGUUAACACAAUAAGUAUUCCGCCUGGGGAGUACGGCCGCAAGGUUGAAACUCAAAUGAAUUGACGGGG